CAUAUGUUUUAAGGAAGUAGACAACUGAGGUUUAGAAAUCAGCAAGUUGAUCUACAGACAAGGAGCUGAAGCCUCUACUGCCGUUAACCUGUGUUCUAUUGGGGGAGCCAUACAAGAGAGUUUAAAAGCUAAAGCCAAGCCAGGAAGAGGAAGACAAGAUGAGAAACCCAAAAUCAAGCCUUGUCUUUCACGCUACCUGGGGAUGCUGCUCCCACCAUGGCAAAUUUGGUGUUUAAGUUCUUUAAGAGUGAUGACUUUAAAUUGUAAGCUAAACCUACUUAAGGUUUUCUUCAACAUACGGUCUUUGAGGAUGGCGUCUUUGCCAUUUGAUUUCUUGAAGAGCUUGCUUCCCUCUAACGUGCUUUGCACAACGUGGCCUGUGCCCUUUCCACGCAUUUGCUUUGGUGGCUGUAUCUUCCCUCGGGUGAGUUGCUUGCUCUCACCUCAGUGGUGGCAGAUGCAUUUUAAGCCCCUUUUGUGAGAAGUUAUUUUUGUUAGGAGUUUGCAUUGUUCACAGUACUUUGACAUGUGAAGAAAAAGAAUACUAAACACAAAAAGAUGAAGCCAUUCUUGACCAUUACUUAAUGUACAAGAUUACGGAUAUAUCUCUACUAACUAACUUUGUGAAUGUUUAAAUUGAUGUUUGUUGAAGUUCAUUUCACAUUUGUAUUAAUAAUAGUAGAUUAUUUUCUUCCCUUUUAAACUGGUUACCUUGGUUUUUAUUAGUCCUUAAUGUUGAUCUGUAUCUGGACAGGACUGACUAACCUCUUCCCAGGUAUUUUCAACUUCUAACAAUGUUUGGGUCAACUCUUGCACAUGACUCAUAUUGAUUAUACAUUCAUUGUAAUAUCUUCUCCAUUAGGUAAUAAAUUUCUUAAGGGUGACAUUAGUGUUUUCCUUCUCAGCUAUUCUAUAUACUUUCUAGUGCUUGGAGGGCUAGAUCUUCAAUGAGUAUUCAAUAUAUAAUUAAGACAUGUUUUUAAAACCAAGUCAGGAAAAGUGUUCUUAACCAUAGUCCUUUUAUUUGGAUAAAUGUUUAAAUCAAGUAUCUUACCUAAAGAUGAACUAUCCAGUAUUAAAUUAUGUUGGAUUCACUAAUGAUGUUCUUCUUAGGAAAGAUACUUUUCUGUAAAGAUGAUUUCCAUUCACCAUCUCUGUUGAUGACUUCAAGUACAGAGUUUGGGAUUUUCUUAUGAAAUAUGUAGAGAAUUCUAAAUUUACAGGGGUAAAAAAAACAGGUACAUGUAAACUGGUCAUAAUACUUUGCAAAAGUGACCUUAUAAAAGUCUCAGGGAUUAUAUUAUGUUAAUGUAUGUAAGAUAUUUUUAAGGUCAUAAGUCAUAAGAUUAAGUCCAAAGGUGACCAAUAUAAUAAAUAAAAAUAGAGUGUAGAAUCACCAAAGAGCUAUAUCAUGCAGUAUUUUUUAUUGCUAAGAGAAAAAAUUAUUUGUUGCUUUGAAAGUAGUGAUAUUUCUUCACAUUUUUCUCAUUUCAUAUUUUUAACAAAAUACUUUAAAAUGGAGUACUCUUUUAUUGUAAUAUCAAUUUUAUCCCUCUUGCUUCAAGGAGUAUAUCCCAUAAUCAGAAGAAUUGUACAUCCUAAGGCAUAAGUUGCUCACCCUUUAUUUGAUAGCCACCUGAUGAACUCUGGAUUUUCUGAGGUCCUUUUCAGGUCAUUGUCCUAUUAUAAUUGUGAGAAAGGAAUGAUUACUGCAUAGAAUAGCAAAAAAUUGUUAAUAAUUUCUCCUCCCUAUAUCCUUUGAACCCCACUGAAGUUUAUACUUCAUUUGUUUUGCAUUACAGUUAACUUUAUACUUGUCUAACUCCUUCAUUUUUCUAUCUUUAAAGGUAAGGACAUAUAUCUUCUCUUUUCUUACAUCGGUAAUAAAAGUUCUUUUCAUAUAAAAGGGAGACCCUAACAUUUGGUGAGUUGACUGUCUGGAGAACCAUGUAAAACCCACUCUUACUGUUAACUAGCCACGUGAUUGAUUUUUGAUAAAUCACUUAAUCCUCCUGGGCCUCAGUUUCUUCAUCUGUAAAAUGAAGGAGUUGAACCAGCUAAUCCUGAAGACAUGUUCCAGUUCUAAAAUGCUACAGAGUAUAUGAUGGCAAUAACCAAGCAUUGUUCUUCCCUAUCAACAUAACGCCACUAGAAGUCUAUGGAACAUGUUUAUAUCCCAAUAUAUUUAGAUUUCAUCUGCU